rnacentral:rRNA from 1 species
UACGAAGGGGGCUAGCGUUGCUCGGAAUGACUGGGCGUAAAGGGCGCGUAGGCGGCACAACUAGUCAGGCGUGAAAUUCCUGGGCUUAACCUGGGGGCUGCGUUUGAUACGGUUGGGCUAGAGGAUGGAAGAGGCUCGUGGAAUUCCCAGUGUAGAGGUGAAAUUCGUAGAUAUUGGGAAGAACACCGGUGGCGAAGGCGGCGAGCUGGUCCAUUACUGACGCUGAGGCGCGAAAGCGUGGGGAGCAAACAGGAUUAGAUACCCUGGUAGUCCACGCUGUAAACGAUGUGCGCUGGAUGUUGGGUAACUUAGUUACUCAGUGUCGUAGCUAACGCGAUAAGCGCACCGCCUGGGGAGUACGGCCGCAAGGUUGAA